GUAGUCCACGCGGUAAACGAUGUCAACUAGCCGUUGGAAGGGUAAUCCUUUUAGUGGCGCAGCUAACGCACUAAGUUGACCGCCUGGGGAGUACGGUCGCAAGAUUAAAACUCAAAUGAAUUGACGGGGGCCCGCACAAGCGGUGGAGCAUGUGGUUUAAUUCGACGCAACGCGAAGAACCUUACCUACUCUUGACAUCCAGAGAACUUGGCAGAGAUGCCUUGGUGCCUUCGGGAGCUCUGAGACAGGUGCUGCAUGGCUGUCGUCAGCUCGUGUCGUGAGAUGUUGGGUUAAGUCCCGUAACGAGCGCAACCCUUGUCCUUAUUUGCCAGCACAUUAUGGUGGGCACUCUAGGGAGACUGCCGGUGACAAACCGGA
rnacentral:rRNA from 1 species